rnacentral:rRNA from 1 species
AUACGUAGGGUGCGAGCGUUAAUCGGAAUUACUGGGCGUAAAGCGUGCGCAGGCGGUUUCGUAAGACAGACGUGAAAUCCCCGGGCUCAACCUGGGAACUGCGUUUGUGACUGCGAGGCUAGAGUUUGGCAGAGGGGGGUGGAAUUCCACGUGUAGCAGUGAAAUGCGUAGAGAUGUGGAGGAACACCGAUGGCGAAAGCAGCCCCCUGGGCCAAUACUGACGCUCAUGCACGAAAGCGUGGGGAGC